CCUUCGAUAGCUCAGUUGGUAGAGCGGUGGACUGUAGAAGUUGUUUCAGCGCCGCACGUUGAGUUGUGAGUAGUAGUUGUGUUUACGGGUGUGUUGAGGUUUGUUGUGUUGAGUCAGUAGUAGUUAGUGCGAGAGAAACCUUUGUGUUGUAAUUGCAAACAAUGUGCACACUUUCACUCCUUCUACUGUCUCAAUGCAAAGUUUCUCAGCUCUCCACCAAACACACUCAGCAAUGUGUGUUUCAGUAAUCCAUAGGUCACUGGUUCAAAUCCGGUUCGAAGGA
rnacentral:tRNA from 1 species